GACGAACGCUGGCGGCGUGCUUAAUACAUGCAAGUCGAACGGAGCCUAGCCGGUAGUUUACUACAGGCGAAAGCUUAGUGGCGGACGGGUGAGUAACGCGUGGGCAAUCUGCCCCUAAGUCCGGGAUAACAGAGCGAAAGUUCUGCUAAGACCGGAUACUCUUCCUUGGUCGCAUGGCGGAGGAAGGAAAGGAUACGCUUAGGGAUGAGCCCGCGUCCCAUUAGCUAGUUGGUGAGGUAACGGCCCACCAAGGCGACGAUGGGUAGCCGGCCUGAGAGGGUGGACGGCCACACUGGGACUGAGACACGGCCCAGACUCCUACGGGAGGCAGCAGUAGGGAAUUUUCCGCAAUGGGGGAAACCCUGACGGAGCAACGCCGCGUGAGGGAAGAAGGCCUUCGGGUCGUAAACCUUUGUCAUCGAGGACGAUAAUGACGGUACUCGAGGAGGAAGCCCCGGCUAACUACGUG
rnacentral:rRNA from 1 species